GACGAACGCUGGCGGCGUGCCUAAUACAUGCAAGUAGAACGCACAGUUUAUACCGUAGCUUGCUACACCAUAAACUGUGAGUUGCGAACGGGUGAGUAACGCGUAGGUACCCUGCCUGGUAGCGGGGGAUAACUAUUGGAAACGAUAGCUAAUACCGCAUAAUAUUGAUUAUUGCAUGAUAAUUGAUUGAAAGAUGCUAUUGCAUCACUACCAGAUGAACCUGCGUUGUAUUAGCUAGUAGGUGAGGUAACGGCUCACCUAGGCGACGAUACAUAGCCGACCUGAGAGGGUGAUCGGCCACCCUGGGACCGAGACACGGCCCAGACGCCCACGGGAGGCAGCAGGAGGGAAGCUUCGGCAAUGGACGAAAGUCUGACCGAGCAACGACGAGGGAGUGAAGAAGGUUUUCGGAUCGUAAAGCCCGGUUGUAAGAGAAGAACGGGUGUGAGAGUGGAAAGUUCACACUGUGACGGUAGCUUACCAGAAAGGGACGGCUAACUACGUG
rnacentral:rRNA from 1 species